rnacentral:rRNA from 1 species
ACCCCAUGGAGCUUUAAACCUAGCCACACCCAAAAUCUUUAUACCUAACUAUUAUCUGAACCCUGUAAGCUAGGCUUUAGGUUGGGGUGACCGCGGAGUAAAACAAAACCUCCGCAAUGAACGAAACUACCGUCUUAUCUAAGAAUAACCCCUCUAAGAAUUAGCACUCUAACAUAAAUGAUCCAAUUAUUGAUCAACGGACCAAGUUACCCUGGGGAUAACAGCGCAAUCCACUUCAAGAGCUCCUAUCGACAGGUGGGUUUACGACCUCGAUGUUGGAUCAGGGUAUCCCAGUGGUGUAGCAGCUACUAAUGGCUCGUUUGUUCAACGAUUAAAACCCU